CCUACGGGAGGCUGCAGUGGGGAAUAUUGGACAAUGGGCGAAAGCCUGAUCCAGCCAUGCCGCGUGUGUGAAGAAGGCCUUCGGGUUGUAAAGCACUUUCAGUGGGGAAGAAAGCCUUGGGGCUAAUACCCUCGAGGAAGGACAUCACCCACAGAAGAAGCACCGGCUAACUCCGUGCCAGCAGCCGCGGUAAUACGGAGGGUGCGAGCGUUAAUCGGAAUUACUGGGCGUAAAGCGCGCGUAGGCGGUCUGAUAAGCCGGUUGUGAAAGCCCCGGGCUCAACCUGGGAACGGCAUCCGGAACUGUCAGGCUAGAGUGCAGCAGAGGAAGGUAGAAUUCCCGGUGUAGCGGUGAAAUGCGUAGAGAUCGGGAGGAAUACCAGUGGCGAAGGCGGCCUUCUGGACUGACACUGACGCUGAGGUGCGAAAGCGUGGGUAGCAAACAGGAUUAGAUACCCCGGUAGUC
rnacentral:rRNA from 1 species